UAGGGAAUCUUCCACAAUGGGCGAAAGCCUGAUGGAGCAACGCCGCGUGUGUGAUGAAGGGUUUCGGCUCGUAAAACNCUGUUGUAAGAGAAGAAUGACAUUGAGAGUAACUGUUCAAUGUGUGACGGUAUCUUACCAGAAAGGAACGGCUAAAUACGUGCCAG
rnacentral:rRNA from 1 species